rnacentral:rRNA from 1 species
GACGAACGCUGGCGGCGUGCUUAAUACAUGCAAGUCAACUUGACUUUAGAUAGCAAUAUCGAAAAGUAGGGUGGCGCACGGGUGCGUAACGCGUAGGUAAUCUGCCCUGAGGUCUGACAUAACCCGUCGAAAGGCGGGCUAACAUCAGAUGAUAUAUAAUCACGACAUCGUGGAAAUAUCAAAUCUUCGGAGCCUUGGGAUGAGCCUGCGUCUGAUUAGGUAGUUGGCGGAGUAAUAGCCCACCAAGCCUACGAUCAGUAGCUGGUCUGAGAGGAUGAUCAGCCACACUGGAACUGAGACACGGUCCAGACUCCUACGGGAGCAGCAGUAAGGAAUAUUGCUCAAUGGGGGAAACCCUGAAGCAGCAACGCCGCGUGAAGGAUGAAAUACUUUUGUAUGUAAACUUCUGUAAGAUGGGAAAAAUAUUCUCCUCGGGAGAAUUGAUUGUACCAUCAGAGUAAGCCCCGGCUAACUACGUGCCAGCAG